rnacentral:rRNA from 1 species
UCGGGGAGCGAAAUUAUAGUAGCGAAGUCCGGAUACAUGCUGUCAAGAAAAGCCGCUAUUGCGCCAUAUGUACCCGUACCGUAAACCGACACAGGUGGAUGAGGAGAGAAUCCUAAGGCCGGCGGGAGAAGUGUUGUUAAGGAACUCGGCAAAAUGGCCCCGUAACUUCGGGAGAAGGGGCGCCCAGAAAUGGGCCGCAGAGAAAAGGCUCAAGCAACUGUUUAGCAAAAACACAGGUCUAUGCGAAACCGAAAGGUGAGGUAUAUGGGCUGACGCCUGCCCGGUGCUGGAAGGUUAAGGGGAGAGGUUAGCCGCAAGGCGAAGCUUUAAACUUAAGCCCCAGUAAACGGCGGCCGUAACUAUAACGGUCCUAAGGUAGCGAAAUUCCUUGUCGGGUAAGUUCCGACCCGCACGAAAGGCGUAAUGAUUUGAGCACUGUCUCGACAACACACCCGGUGAAAUUGAAAUACCAGUGAAGAUGCUGGUUACCUGCGCCAGGACGGAAAGACCCCAUGGAGCUUUACUCUAGUUUGAUACUGGGACCCGGUAUGACAUGUACAGGAUAGGUGGGAGGCAGAGAAUUAAUGACGCCAGUCAUUAAGGAGCCGCUGUUGGGAUACCACCCUUGUGAUGCCAGGUUUCUAACGAGCUGCCGUGAACCGGCAGGCGGACAAUGUCAGGCGGGGAGUUUGACUGGGGCGGUCGCCUCCGAAAGGGUAUCGGAGGCGCUCAAAGGUUCCCUCAGAAUGGUUGGAAACCAUUCGGAGAGUGCAAAGGCAGAAGGGAGCCUGACUGCGACACCGUCGGGUGGAGCAGGUACGAAAGUAGGACUUAGUGAUCCGGUGGUAUAAAGUGGGAUUGCCAUCGCUCAACGGAUAAAAGCUACCCUGGGAUAACAGGCUUAUCACUCCCAAGAGUUCACAUCGACGGAGUGGUUUGGCACCUCGAUGUCGGCUCAUCGCAUCCUGGGGCUGGAGUAGGUCCCAAGGGUUGGGCUGUUCGCCCAUUAAAGCGGUACGCGAGCUGGGUUCAGAACGUCGUGAGACAGUUCGGUCCCUAUCCGGCGCGGGCGUAAGAGAUUUGAGAGGAGCUGUCCUUAGUACGAGAGGACCGGGAUGGACGGACCACUGGUGUAUCUGUUGCACCACCAGGUGCACGGCAGAGUAGCCAAGUCCGGACGGGAUAAACGCUGAAGGCAUCUAAGCGUGAAGCCCCCCUCAAGAUGAGAUCUCUCAUUCGAAAGAAGUAAGACCCCUUGAAGACGACGAGGUAGUUAGGGCAGAGGUGGAAGGGCAGUAAUGUCCGGAGCUGACUGUUACUAAUCGGUCGAGGGCUUGACCAA